UUCUAAAAUAUAGGAAAAAAAUGUCUUCUAAAAUUAGAGGAUGCAACCACCUCUAAUUGAAAGAUGAACCUAUCAUUUAACGGAAAAGACUAAAUUUGCAUUACGUUAUUUGUGGUUCGCGAGAUAUUUGACCAAGAAAAAGACACACAGAUUGACUUUUAGUUGAUUGUGUGCUGACUAGCAGACGACGUUAAUUUGCAACAGCCAGUCUGCUUGUGGAAUGUGGCAUGGCCUACUGUGGGUAUUUUAAUUUGAUCGUUUGAAUGUUUGUGAUUGAUUUCAUCUUGUGAAGCACUAUGUUUAUAUUUCAAAUUUUAACUAUUGCAGCAUUAUAAUAAGGAAAGAAAAACAUGCCUCUUGUGUCACAACUGAUGGUUCCUUUACCUAUCAAAUCUGUACCACAUUGACAGAUGGUUCACAUGUAGGUGCUGAAUCAACUGGAAAACGUUCAAAAAAAGGGAAUUGAGAAUUACAUUUAUCAUCAGACAUACCUCCAUUUCAGAAAAUUUUAUCGUUAAGAUGACAAGUUGGAAAUUGAUUUACUGUUUUUACAUGUCACCUUAAGUGAUAUCAUUGCAUACCAGACUUUAUUCGGAUGCAAAACAAAUUUCCCUCAUUUAAAAGGCAUGCAUGAUUUAAUGGUUGAAAUUUUGUAACGAAGAAAAAAGAAAGCUGCAGCUGUGGAAAAUAGAAUUGACAGAUUACAUUCAUCAUCAGACGCAUUUCAGUUUCAGAAAGUUUUGUCUUGAAGAUGGCAAAAGUUGCCAGUCGAUUUACAUGUCACCUUAAGUGAUGUCAUAACAGGAGCUUGUCAUUUAGAAUUUAGAUAGCAUACUUCUAUUUCAGAAAAGUUGCCAGUCAAUUUACAUAAUACCCUAAGUGAUAUCAUAACAGGAGCUUGUCAUUUAGAUAGUACUCUAAAGCAAGAGCCUUGACAAGCAAAAUUGUAUUUCAUUCUGGCCCAACAAAUAGUGGGAAAACAUAUCAUGUUCAUGAAUGGUUUUUUAAUUCAAAUAAGAAGUUUAUUGUAAUCCUUUAAUUUCUUUAUUAAAAAUCAGAAGUUUAUUGUGGUCCCUUAAAACUUUUGACAUCUAAGUAAUAAAAUUAAGGAAAUGAGUGCGGUGUCCAAUGUGAUUUACUAUUUGGAGAAUAAAGACAUUUUCAUGCUAA
rnacentral:lncRNA from 1 species